GAGCGAAACGCCCUGCGGGGCGUCGUCGCGGCGUGGUGGCCGCGGCCUGAUGAGCAGCUGGAG
rnacentral:hammerhead_ribozyme from 1 species